rnacentral:rRNA from 1 species
GCAUAUCGAUAGCGGAGGAAAAGAAACCAACAGGGAUUGCCCUUAGUAACGGCGAAGUGAAGCGGCAACAGCUCAAAUUUGAAAUCUGGCCCUCGGGUCCGAGUUGUAAUUUGUAGAGGAUGCUUUUGGUGCGGUGCCUUCCGAGUUCCCUGGAACGGGACGCCAUAGAGGGUGAGAGCCCCGUCUGGUUGGACACCAAGCCUCUGUAAAGCUCCUUCGACGAGUCGAGUAGUUUGGGAAUGCUGCUCUAAAUGGGAGGUAUAUGUCUUCUAAAGCUAAAUACCGGCCAGAGACCGAUAGCGCACAAGUAGAGUGAUCGAAAGAUGAAAAGCACUUUGAAAAGAGGGUUAAAUAGUACGUGAAAUUGUUGAAAGGGAAGCGCUUGUGACCAGACUUGAGCCCGGUUAAUCAUCCAGCCUUCUGGCUGGUGCACUUGGCCGGCUCAGGCCAGCAUCAGUUCGGCGUGGGGGAUAAAGACUUCGGGAAUGUGGCUCCUUCGGGAGUGUUAUAGCCCGUUGUGUAAUACCCUGUACUGGACUGAGGUUCGCGCAUCUGCAAGGAUGCUGGCGUAAUGGUCAUCAGCGACCCGUCUUGAAACACGGACCAAGGAGUCGUCCUCGUAUGCGAGUGUUCGGGUGUCAAACCCCUACGCGUAAUGAAAGUGAACGCAGGUGAGAGCUUCGGCGCAUCAUCGACCGAUCCUGAUGUUCUCGGACGGAUUUGAGUAAGAGCAUACGGGGCCGGACCCGAAAGAAGGUGAACUAUGCCUGUAUAGGGUGAAGCCAGAGGAAACUCUGGUGGAGGCUCGCAGCGGUUUCUGACGUGCAAAUCGAUUCGUCAAAUAUGGGCAUGGGGGCGAAAGACUAAUCGAACCUUCUAGUAGCUGGUUUCCGCCGA